rnacentral:rRNA from 1 species
UACGUAGGUUGCGAGCGUUGUCCGGAAUUAUUGGGCGUAAAGGGCUCGUAGGCGGUCUGUCACGUCGAUCGUGAAAACUUGGGGCUUAACCCUGAGCUUGCGGUCGAUACGGGCAUGACUGGAGUUCGGCAGGGGAGACUGGAAUUCCUGGUGUAGCGGUGAAAUGCGCAGAUAUCAGGAGGAACACCGGUGGCGAAGGCGGGUCCCUGGGCCGAUACUGACGCUGAGGAGCGAAAGCGUGGGGAGCGAACAGG